AUCUGAGUGGUGCAAAUGGUUAACACUCUCGGCUGCUAACUGAAAAGUUGGAGGUUCAAGUCCACCCAGAGAUG
rnacentral:tRNA from 1 species